UCAUCACCAUCAUCCCUGAUUCUUCUUUCAGGCGUUUGGUGUUGCUUGGAAGAUAGGCCUCUUCCGAGUCAAGUACGGUAAAACAAUGACGACCCCUCGGAAGGAUACUUUCGAGGGGUUUAUUUU
rfam:Chelonobacter oris strain 1662 contig000002, whole genome shotgun sequence.